rnacentral:tRNA from 1 species
GCGUGGAUAGCUUAGUCAGUGGAGCAUGAGACUCUUAAUCUCGUGAUCGUGGGUUCGAGCCCCACGUUGGGCG